rnacentral:rRNA from 1 species
CAACAGGGAUUGCCCCAGUAACGGCGAGUGAAGCGGCAACAGCUCAAAUUUGAAAUCUGGCCCCCAGGGUCCGAGUUGUAAUUUGUAGAGGAUGCUUUUGGCGAGGUGCCUUCCGAGUUCCCUGGAACGGGACGCCACAGAGGGUGAGAGCCCCGUCUGGUCGGCCACCGAGCCUCUGUAAAGCUCCUUCGACGAGUCGAGUAGUUUGGGAAUGCUGCUCAAAAUGGGAGGUAUAUGUCUUCUAAAGCUAAAUACUGGCCAGAGACCGAUAGCGCACAAGUAGAGUGAUCGAAAGAUGAAAAGCACUUUGAAAAGAGGGUUAAAAAGUACGUGAAAUUGUUGAAAGGGAAGCGCCUAUGACCAGACUUGGGCCCGGUGAAUCAUCCAGCGUUCUCGCUGGUGCACUUCGCCGGGCACAGGCCAGCAUCAGUUUGGCGCGGGGGAAAAAGGCUCUGGGAAUGUGGCUCCCCCGGGAGUGUUAUAGCCCACCGCGUAAUACCCUGCGCCGGACUGAGGUACGCGCAUUCGCAAGGAUGCUGGCGUAAUGGUCAUCAGCGACCCGUCUUGAAACACGGACCAAGGAGUCGUCUUCGUAUGCGAGUGUUCGGGUGUCAAACCCCUACGCGUAAUGAAAGUGAACGUAGGUGAGAGCUUCGGCGCAUCACCGACCGAUCCUGAUGUUCUCGGAUGGAUUUGAGUAAGAGCAUACGGGGCCGGACCCGAAAGAAGGUGAACUAUGCCUGUAUAGGGUGAAGCCAGAGGAAACUCUGGUGGAGGCUCGCAGCGGUUCUGACGUGCGAAUCGAUCGUCAAAUAUGGGCAUGGGGGCGAAAGACUAAUCGA